ACCGAGAGGAGCCAAAGACCUGCUAACUCUUUAAUCUGACAAAU
rnacentral:tRNA from 5 species